rnacentral:tRNA from 1 species
GUUGUAGUUCAGUGGUAGAGUGCUUGCCUCACACGCAUGAGACCCUGGGUCCAAUCCCCAGCACAUAACA